UCUUUUAAGAUUAAAGGGAUCGUGUUUGAACUCCAUAUCUGAAAGGGAACUGAGGCUUAGAGAGAACACCCUGCUCUAGCUCUCAGCAGCGCGGCGGGUGGGUACGGGUGGCUGCCAGGAUACCAGGUUAUGUUUCAGUUUUGUUUUGUUUUCUCCUGGCAAAGAUCUUGUGGCAAAGUGGUGACUAACUGGGUUUUGAUUUCAGCCAACAAGUGUCCCGUCCAGUUCCUCUAGCUUCACUCUGCCAGGUAUCAAAGAGGACAACAGCCUGCUCAACCAGGGCUUCCUGCAGGCCAAACCUGAGAAGGUGGUGGCCACCCAGAAGGCCCGGAGCCACAUUCCAGCCCCUGCCCCUAUGACCAGCGCCUGGAAGAUGGUGGCCUGUGGAGGCACCAAAGACCAGCUCUUCAUGCAAGAGAAAGCCCGGCAGCUCCUGGGCCGCUUAAAGCCCAGCCGAUCAUCUCGGACCCUCAUUCUGUCCUGAAGGGGCUUAGUGGGCACAAGCCUGUUUUCAUGUUUACAGGGGCUAGGGUCGGGGUGAGGUAUGCAUUGAAAUCACAUUCAGGUGGUCAGCUUCAGGAAGUCGUCUGCUGUCAGCCCCUCAGACUACUCAGUGGCAGCAGAAGGAACACACUAUAUCCUGUCCCCAGGUCUAGCUUCGUGAAGUUCCUGGUGCUAACAGAACAAAGUCCCACUCCUAGGCCUGUCUGUCCUGUCCCCGAUGCCACAAGGAGCCCUGUUAGCUUCUCCCAAGCUCUCAGCAGGCCUGGCCUCAUCUCACCCCUGCUUAGGAUAGGGGGUGUGGCUAGGAGUGUUCCUUUUCUCAUCCCCCGUUGGUACAUUCUCUCCACAAUAAAAUGCCGUUCUCCCUAUGCA